UACGUAGGUGGCGAGCGUUGUCCGGAUUUACUGGGCGUAAAGGGCGUGCAGGCGGUUUGUUAAGUCUAGGGUGAAAGCUCCCGGCUCAACUGGGAGAGGUCCUUGGAUACUGGCAAACUUGAGGGAUGCAGAGGAAAGUGGAAUUCCCGGUGUAGUGGUGAUAUGCGUAGAUAUCGGGAGGAACACCAGUGGCGAAGGCGGCUUUCUGGGCAUUUCCUGACGCUGAGACGCGAAAGCGUGGGGAGCGAACCGG
rnacentral:rRNA from 1 species